rnacentral:misc_RNA from 1 species
GGAAGGAUCAUUACAAAUCCAAAACAACAACCCGUUUAAAUGUCUUCGGCCUUGAGGUUGAGUUAAAGAAGAGAGAGGGUGAUUGAUAGAUGGUAUCAUCUAUCAUCCAUCCAUCCAUCCCUCUCUUUCUCUCUCCUCUCUCCCCUUUCACACAGGGUAGAGUCCCUCAAGGUUCGGCUUAAAAUGACUAUUUAUUUUGACAUCUUGUAACCUUUUAUCGUUCAUUCGAUAACAACAAAUACAACUUUUAACAAUGGAUCUCUAGGCUCUUGCAACGAUGAAGAACGCAGCAAAAUGCGAAAUGUCGUGUGACAUGCAUUCCUCGUGAAUCAUCAAAUCUUUGAACGCACCUUGCACCUUUUGACUUUGUCAUUAGGUAUACUUGUUUGAGUAUAAUAUCAAAACGCUCUACCCUCCUCUUUCCAAGUGGGUUUAGGGAUGAUGGGUGGUGGUGAUGCACUGGUGACAAGAUUAACCUCUUUCCCAUUCUUUGCCUCCUCUUAUCACCCCUCUCUCUGCUUGAAAAGCAAUGGUGUGUAGGACAUGAGAUGUCUAGCUUGGGUUGUUGACCCUUUUAUCCUGCUAGUCUCUUUAAAUGUAUACCUUGUAAAAGGUCCUCUAGUCUUUGGUCUCACAAAAUCAAUCCAUGUAUAAUUUACAUUAUGCAUGCUGAUGAGGGAGACGGUCUAAUGGGAUAACAUCCUAUCGUUAGACUAUUAGAGUUGAUCUUUACUUAUACACAGGGUCAUGAUCGUGGCAUGAGGAGAGAGAGAGAGAGAGUGAGAGCGAGAAGGACGUGACAGCACCCUAGGUGUCAUCACUCCUCCUCCUCCUCCCCUCACUCCCCCUCCCCCUUCCACUCUCUUACCAAAACUUAUCUCAAAUCAAGUAGGAUUACCCGCUGAACUUAAGCAUAUCAGUAAGCGGAGGAAAAGAAACUAACAAGGAUUCCCGUAGUAACGGCGAGUGAAGUGGGAAAAGCUCAAAUUUUAAAUCCGGUACCUUUGGUGCCUGAAUUGUAAUUGCAAGAGACUUUUUGUGGCCCAAGUGUGAUUAUGGCUCAAGUCCUUUGGAAAAAGGCAUCAUAGAGGGUGAUAAUCCCGUCUAGGUCAUUCACCUUGGGUCAGUAUCAAAGAGAUCUCGAAGAGUCGGGUUGUUUGGGAAUGCAGCCCAAAAUGGGAGGUACAUUUCUCCUAAAGCUAAAUACAGGCAAGAGACCGAUAGCGAACAAGUACCGUGAGGGAAAGAUGAAAAGAACUUUGAAAAGAGAGUUAAACAGUACGUGAAAUUGUUAAAAGGGAAACGAUUGAGAUCAGUGAUGUUCACCUGGACUUCAGCUUACCCCUCCUGCAAGGGAUGGGAUGAGUGUAUUGCCCAGGUGAACGGGUUGACUCUCAUUCUCGGGCAUGGAAAAGGCUUGAGGGAAGGUGGCCUUACCUUCGGGUGACGGCUUUAUAGACCUCUUGAGAUACAUACCCUAGGGGAUGAGUGAAAGGGACACCCUUUCUCAAGGACCGUUAACUCGCGUCCAAGUCAACAAAAUGGUCUUAACCGACCCGUCUUGAAACACGGACCAAGGAGUCUAACAACUAUGCGAGUAUUUGAGUGGCAAACUCGAAUGCGUAAAGAAAUUGAAUGGUUGGGAAUGAGGACCUAGUACGUCUUUGUGCACCAACAGCCGGUUCUUGUCUUUGACUUGGAUUGAGCUAGAGCAUAUCUGUUGGGACCCGAAAGAUGGUGAACUAUGCCUGAAUAGGGCGAAGCCAGAGGAAACUCUGGUGGAGGCUCGUAGAGAUUCUGACGUGCAAAUCGAUCUUCAAAUUUGGGUAUAGGGGCGAAAGACUAAUCGAACCAUCUAGUAGAGAGACUUGUUGUGUGGUGAUACAUGGAUGGGGGGGGUGCUAGUGUGGGUAUAUAUAUAUAUAUCUACCAUCAUCCUCAUUCAUCCAUCAUAUCAUCACAAAGCAAAAUAACCAACUGCUAGAGAUAGUAGGGCAAUGGUCUAAACAACCAUUGUUAUGCCUGCUAGUCGAGCAGCCAAAUAAUACCUGUGACAGGGUGGCUGCCGGCAAGGUGACCUGGUACGAGGAAGGCCUCACACUAAUAGUGUCGAGGUUAAUCUCGUGGCGAAUCCCUCAAGGGUGACCUUGAUGGGAUCGUCGUAACGCGCGGUAAGGCACCGGCUGACUCUAUAUAUGACUUAGAGUUGGCUCAAGGAACGUGCUACUCCCAGACGAUAAAAAGUCUGCUUUGUACUGGAACACCUGUCAUGUAAAGGUACAAAGAAGGUAAUCAUGCCAUGUAAUAAUGGAUGAUUGGGAUACAGGAGGAAAUGCCUGUUCUCUCGGUCGUGUCCAUGUAUAAAGGUAUCUUUAUACAUCACCACCACCCAGCCUUGGUAUUUAGGAGCUGGUUCCCUC